UACGGAGGGGGUUAGCGUUGUUCGGAAUUACUGGGCGUAAAGCGCGCGUAGGCGGACCAGAAAGUUGGGGGUGAAAUCCCGGGGCUCAACCCCGGAACGGCCUCCAAAACUCCUGGUCUUGAGUUCGAGAGAGGUGAGUGGAAUUCCGAGUGUAGAGGUGAAAUACGUAGAUAUUCGGAGGAACACCAGUGGCGAAGGCGGCUCACUGGCUCGAUACUGACGCUGAGGUGCGAAAGUGUGGGGAGCAAACAGG
rnacentral:rRNA from 1 species